rnacentral:rRNA from 1 species
CCCAGACAGCCAGGAUGUUGGCUUAGAAGCAGCCAUCAUUUAAAGAAAGCGUAAUAGCUCACUGGUCGAGUCGGCCUGCGCGGAAGAUGUAACGGGGCUAAACCAUGCACCGAAGCUGCGGCAGCGACGCUGAUGCGUUGUUGGGUAGGGGAGCGUUCUGUAAGCCUGCGAAGGUGGCCUGUGAGGGUUGCUGGAGGUAUCAGAAGUGCGAAUGCUGACAUAAGUAACGAUAAAGCGGGUGAAAAGCCCGCUCGCCGGAAGACCAAGGGUUCCUGUCCAACGUUAAUCGGGGCAGGGUGAGUCGACCCCUAAGGCGAGGCCGAAAGGCGUAGUCGAUGGGAAACGGGUUAAUAUUCCCGUACUUGGUGUUACUGCGAAGGGGGGACGGAGAAGGCUAUGUUGGCCGGGCGACGGUUGUCCCGGUUUAAGCGUGUAGGUGUGUGUUCCAGGUAAAUCCGGUUCACUUUAACACUGAGGCGUGACGACGAGGCACUACGGUGCUGAAGCAACAAAUGCCCUGCUUCCAGGAAAAGCCUCUAAGCAUCAGGUAACAUCAAAUCGUACCCCAAACCGACACAGGUGGUCAGGUAGAGAAUACCAAGGCGCUUGA